rnacentral:rRNA from 1 species
UCAGUUCAGACUGCAGGCUGCAACUCGCCUGCACGAAGUCGGAAUUGCUAGUAAUCGUAGGUCAGCAUACUACGGUGAAUACGUUCCCGGGCCUUGUACACACCGCCCGUCACACCAUGAGAGUUGGAGAUACCCGAAGCCUAUGAGCUAACUUUUAGAGGCAGUAGUCGAAGGUAGAAUCAAUGAUUGGGGUGAAGUCGUAACAAGGUAUC